AUUGAACGCUGGCGGCAGGCUUAACACAUGCAAGUCGAGCGGUAACAGGAGAAGCUUGCUUCUCGCUGACGAGCGGCGGACGGGUGAGUAAUACUUAGGAAUCUGCCCAGUAGUGGGGGAUAGCUCGGGGAAACUCGAAUUAAUACCGCAUACACCCUACGGGGAAAAGGGGGCACUUGUGCUCUCGCCAUUGGAUGAGCCUAAGUCGGAUUAGCUAGUUGGUGGGGUAAAGGCCUACCAAGGCGACGAUCUGUAGCUGGUCUGAGAGGAUGAUCAGCCACACCGGGACUGAGACACGGCCCGGACUCCUACGGGAGGCAGCAGUGGGGAAUAUUGGACAAUGGGGGCAACCCUGAUCCAGCCAUGCCGCGUGUGUGAAGAAGGCCUUUUGGUUGUAAAGCACUUUAAGCAGUGAAGAAGACUCUAUGGUUAAUACCCAUAGACGAUGACAUUAGCUGCAGAAUAAGCACCGGCUAACUCUGUGCCAGCAGCCGCGGUAAUACAGAGGGUGCAAGCGUUAAUCGGAAUUACUGGGCGUAAAGCGAGCGUAGGUGGCUUGAUAAGUCAGAUGUGAAAUCCCCGGGCUUAACCUGGGAACUGCAUCUGAUACUGUUAGGCUAGAGUAGGUGAGAGGGAGGUAGAAUUUCAGGUGUAGCGGUGAAAUGCGUAGAGAUCUGAAGGAAUACCGAUGGCGAAGGCAGCCUCCUGGCAUCAUACUGACACUGAGGUUCGAAAGCGUGGGUAGCAAACAGGAUUAGAUACCCUGGUAGUCCACGCCGUAAACGAUGUCUACUAGUCGUUGGGGAACUUGAUUCCUUAGUGACGCAGCUAACGCAAUAAGUAGACCGCCUGGGGAGUACGGCCGCAAGGUUAAAACUCAAAUGAAUUGACGGGGGCCCGCACAAGCGGUGGAGCAUGUGGUUUAAUUCGAUGCAACGCGAAGAACCUUACCUGGUCUUGACAUAUCUAGAAUCCUGCAGAGAUGCGGGAGUGCCUUCGGGAAUUAGAAUACAGGUGCUGCAUGGCUGUCGUCAGCUCGUGUCGUGAGAUGUUGGGUUAAGUCCCGCAACGAGCGCAACCCUUUUCCUUAGUUACCAGCGGUUUGGCCGGGGACUCUAAGGAUACUGCCAGUGACAAACUGGAGGAAGGCGGGGACGACGUCAAGUCAUCAUGGCCCUUACGACCAGGGCUACACACGUGCUACAAUGGUAGGUACAGAGGGCAGCUACACAGCGAUGUGAUGCGAAUCUCAAAAAGCCUAUCGUAGUCCAGAUUGGAGUCUGCAACUCGACUCCAUGAAGUCGGAAUCGCUAGUAAUCGCGGAUCAGAAUGCCGCGGUGAAUACGUUCCCGGGCCU
rnacentral:rRNA from 1 species